rnacentral:rRNA from 1 species
UACGUAGGUGGCAAGCGUUGUCCGGAUUUACUGGGCGUAAAGAGCGCGCAGGCGGUCAUUCAAGUCGAGUGUGAAAGCCCCCGGCUCAACUGGGGAGGGUCACUCGAUACUGUUUGACUCGAAGGCGGGAGAGGGAUGCGGAAUUCCAGGUGUAGCGGUGAAAUGCGUAGAUAUCUGGAGGAACACCGGUGGCGAAGGCGGCAUCCUGGACCAAUAUUGACGCUGA